AGCUGAGUUUGAUCCUGGCUCAGGAUGAACGCUAGCGGCAGGCCUAACACAUGCAAGUCGAGGGGUAGCAGGAUUAAGCUUGCUUAAUUGCUGACGACCGGCGCACGGGUGCGUAACGCGUAUGCAACCUACCUUAUACUGGGGUAUAGCCCGGAGAAAUUCGGAUUAAUCCCCAUAGUACUGUUUGAUCGCAUGGUUAGACAGUUAAAGCAUUGCGGUAUAAGAUGGGCAUGCGUCCUAUUAGCUAGAUGGUGAGGUAACGGCUUACCAAGGCUAUGAUAGGUAGGGGCCUGAGAGGGUGAUCCCCGACACUGGUACUGAGACACGGGACCACGACGUCCUACGGGGAGGCAGCAGUGAGGAAUAUUGGUCAAUGGGCGCAAGCCUGAACCAGCCAUGCCGCGUGCAGGA
rnacentral:rRNA from 1 species